CGGGAACUCCGGGAAAGGAAAUCAGGGUUUCAUGGAUCGCAGGUGGAUAGAUGAGCGGGGCGAUCGCGGAUUGGGCAGUGUGAAGAGAAGGAGGAGUAUAAAGAGGGCCUCAGAAACUGCAGAGGGGGAGUUUUUUUUAUUCUAGCCGAUACGGCGAGUGAGUUGGAGUGUUUGGGCGAGUGCAGCGGAAAGAAGGCGGAGGAUAUUGUUGGCUGGGUGAAGACGGAGACAAGGGUUUGGCAGAAACAGAAACCGGGCUGAGUAUAUUGGGAUGUCUACCUAACUGUGAAAUGCUCUAUGGACAUGUGUAACAAAUUCUGAGUGGUUGAAAACAGGAAGACUCACCGGAAGUAUCGCCGAAGGAGGCCCUUUCGACAGGUCACGUGGCAGCAGGAGAAGUAUCCAGGAGCUGGAAAGAAGAGGGAAAAGAGACCUUGUGUUAGUAACGGUGUGAGUACCCUAAACCAUCGUACAGCAGCAUAAUCAUCUAGAGUGAACUAUCUGUGAGCCUUUUUGUGAGUUUGUGGCAUAGUAUGUGAGUGGCCCCACUGUGGAGGAGGAUUGUGGGUGAGCCGGGACCAGUGAGCGAGAGAAGACGUUGGGGUGUCGUGGCGGCGACGUUUAAAUCUGAAUAUUCGUUGCAUCAGUGUCUCCACGAUUUCCAGGACGAGUCUUUGGUCAGACGGGGUUUUGACCCUAAAUUCACCAAGAGUGUGUGGAGUGCAGUGGGCCCGACGAAAUCCUUGAAGGAAGUGAGUACUGAGGCGGGCGAAGAAAACAUCUCCAAUUAUAUGCCGUCGAUGACAUCCUGACCCUUCUUCCCCACGUGGCGGGAAACAAUUUCAAAUCUCUUGCUCUGUCGGUUGGAAGAAAGAAGAGGGAAGCGUUCGACCCAUUCAGUGUAGCACACCCCGGGUGAAACAACUUACCUGUGUGUGACACCAGCGGAGGCCGUGUUCGGCCCAACGCAGCAGCAGCUUUCGAUCCGCAUGUCUAUCAGCAGUUGGUUGAAGCCUCAGAAAAGGAACGCCUGACGUCGAUUUCCUCAAAGAUCUAGCGGGUCCCUUUGAAGCGUCUACCUGCACGUCGACCCGUCACUCAGGAUACAGAAACCGCGGAAACCCCCCCCCCCCGUACACUUACCAGUACGGUUUCAGUUGGAUCCCGGCAGCCAUUGUGCAGCUCCACCAGCAUCUGGACGACCGGGAGUCCAACCCGCUGGGCCGCCUCGGAGUUCGCCACGAGUAGCAGCAGGUAUCCAUCGUGCAUUCAAACUCUCAAUACUUACCACUUGUAUCUGUUACGUCCAGGAAAGGAGAGGGCCCUGGACAGUCGUCCUGCAAGCCAGAACAAAGGGGCACUUGUGAAUAAGCUGAUUGUCGUCACAUAGCCAGAAGGAAAGAGGAGUGAAGGACUCAC
ensembl:lncRNA